UGCAGAUUGUGGAGACACACAAAGGAGUUUUAAUGACCCCAACAUUUUGAUUACUUGGAUAUUUAAUGGUAUAAUGCAACACACAUUGAAUGCAUUCUGUCUACAGGGACUGUCAGGACCUCCAGGGAAGCCGGGCCUGCCAGGCAAAAGAGGUCCCAGGGGUGCCCCUGGUCCCCAUGGAAAUCCUGGCAGGCCUGGUCCACCCGGACUCAAGGGGAGAAAAGGAGACCCUGGCAUCUCACCUGGCCCAGCACCUAAAGGAGAGAAGGUAUUAUAUCCCUCAUUUUCUAACAUGCUAGAUUCUAUUCUAACAUUAGUUUGUAAGAAGUUUCUCUUUUGCACGCUUCUGGCACAUUUCCAAUUGCUAUUUAUGCAACCACACAUUCUUACACUGUGGUCUUUUAACAUUUUGUCUCUUUAUGUUCCAGGGAGACUCAGGGAUUAUUGGUCCAGUUGGACUGAUUGGCCCAGCAGGUCGAAAGGUAGGACUGAAAAGCUCAGAUGCCUCCAAAACGUCUCGAUAGUUUUUGACCAAAGUCCUUCCAAUG
rnacentral:lncRNA from 1 species